GAUGAACGCUGGCGGCGUGCCUAAUACAUGCAAGUCGAGCGAACAGACGAGGAGCUUGCUCCUCUGACGUUAGCGGCGGACGGGUGAGUAACACGUGGAUAACCUACCUAUAAGACUGGGAUAUCUUCGGGAAACCGGAGCUAAUACCGGAUAAUAUAUUGAACCGCAUGGUUCAAUAGUGAAAGACGGUUUUGCUGUCACUUAUAGAUGGAUCCGCGCCGCAUUAGCUAGUUGGUAAGGUAACGGCUUACCAAGGCAACGAUGCGUAGCCGACCUGAGAGGGUGAUCGGCCACACUGGAACUGAGACACGGGCCAGACUCCUACGGGAGGCAGCAGUAGGGAAUCUUCCGCAAUGGGCGAAAGCCUGACGGAGCAACGCCGCGUGAGUGAUGAAGGUCUUCGGAUCGUAAAACUCUGUUAUUAGGGAAGAACAAAUGUGUAAGUAACUAUGCACGUCUUGACGGUACCUAAUCAGAAAGCCACGGCUAACUACGUG
rnacentral:rRNA from 1 species